CUAUCAGGUAGUAGUGGGUGUAGCGUACCUACUAGCCUACGACGGGUACGGGUUGUGAGAGCAAGAGCCCGGAGAUGGAUUCUGAGACACGAAUCCAGGCCCUACGGGGUGCAGCAGGCGCGAAAACUUUACAAUGCUGGCAACAGCGAUAAGGGAACCUCGAGUGCCAGGUUACAAAUCUGGCUGUCGAGAUGCCUAAAAAGCAUUUCAUAGCAAGGGCCGGGCAAGACCGGUGCCAGCCGCCGCGGUAACACCGGCGGCUCGAGUGGUAACCGUUAUUAUUGGGUCUAAAGGGUCUGUAGCCGGCCGGAUAAGUCUCUUGAGAAAUCUGGCAGCUUAACUGUCAGGCUUUCAGGAGAUACUGUCUGGCUCGAGGCCGGGAGAGGUGAGAGGUACUUCAGGGGUAGGGGUGAAAUCUUGUAAUCCUUGAAGGACCACCAGUGGCAAAGGCGUCUCACCAGAACGGACCUGACGGCAAGGGACGAAAGCUAGGGGCACGAACCGGAUUAGAUACCCGGGUAGUCCUAGCCGUAAACGAUACUCGCUAGGUGUCGGCCACGGUGCGACCGUUGUCGGUGCCGUAGGGAAGCCGUGAAGCGAGC
rnacentral:rRNA from 1 species